rnacentral:rRNA from 1 species
UACCGGAUGAUGACUUCGGUACCAAAGUAUUUAUCGCGAGGAUGGGCCCGCGUAGGAUUAGCUAGUUGGUGGGGUAAUGGCCUACCAAGGCGACGAUCCUUAGCUGGUCUGAGAGGAUGAUCAGCCACACUGGGACUGAGACACGGCCCAGACUCCUACGGGAGGCAGCAGUGGGGAAUAUUGGACAAUGGGCGAAAGCCUGAUCCAGCAAUGCCGCGUGAGUGAUGAAGGCCUUAGGGUUGUAAAGCUCUUUUACCCGGGAUGAUAAUGACAGUACCGGGAGAAUAAGCUCCGGCUAACUCCGUG